rnacentral:rRNA from 1 species
UGCAGAGGUCUCGAGCGUUAGGCGGAAUCACUGGGCUUAAAGCGUGUGUAGGCGGAUCGGUAAGUACCUUGUGAAAUCCCACAGCUUAACUGUGGAACUGCUUGGUAUACUGCCAGUCUUGAGCCAGCUAGGGGCUACCGGAACAAAUGGUGGAGCGGUGAAAUGCGUAGAUAUCAUUUGGAACGCCAAUGGUGAAAACAGGUAGCUGGGGCUGUGCUGACGCUGAGACACGAAAGCCAGGGGAGCAAACGGG